CGCGUAGGCGGUUUGAUAAGUGGGAUGUGAAAGCCCCGGGCUUAACCUGGGAACUGCAUUCCAAACUGUCAGGCUAGAGUAUGGUAGAGGGAGGUAGAAUUUCCUGUGUAGCGGUGAAAUGCGUAGAUAUAGGAAGGAAUACCGGUGGCGAAGGCGGCCUCCUGGACCAAUACUGACGCUGAGGUGCGAAAGCGUGGGGAGCAAACA
rnacentral:rRNA from 1 species